rnacentral:rRNA from 1 species
CCUUGUACACACCGCCCGUCACACCAUGGAAGUUGGCCAUGCCCGAAGUCGUUACUCCAACCCUUGUGGAGGAGGACGCCGAAGGUGGGGCUAAUGACUGGGGUGAAGUCGUAACAAGGUAGCCGUACCGGAAGGUGCGGCUGGAUCACCUCCUAA